UGUGGCUCCUUAGGAUGGAAAGGGAGGGAUUGAGUCAGUCGGUUUUGAGCCCUUAUUGUAGUAAGCAUUUGGGAGAGUACAAUAUAACAAUAAACAGACAUAUUCCCUGCACACAGGGAAAUGUAUAAGGUGACUGAGAUUUAAUAUAGGGAGACCUGUAUCCCAAAAUGUUCUAGAAAGAUUAAAUGAUAGUGGGGUUCUUCAUUAAAUGCUUACUAGGUGUCAAGCACUGUAGUAAGCCCUGGGGAAAAUAAAAGUUAAUGAGGUCACAUUCACUCCUUAUCCUCUAUGGAGCUCCCAAUUAACACAUGGCAUGAGGCUCUUAGUGUCAAGUAGGGUCACUGUAGUGAGUUGCGUCCUGGCAGAUUUUCAUUUUUUGAUACUGUUUUGGAAAACUCAUUAAGUUGGAACCUAUAAAUUUGUAAUUUGUAUUCGUUGAGAGUGGAGGUGCAAUGUUAAAAACACUUUAUGCACCCCGGGCCAAGCUAAUCAAUCAGUGGAAUUAAUUGAGUGCCUCUCACUUCCUUCUUCAGCUUUGGUGGGUUGUCCCAUAAUUUAGCAGCAAUCGUGGUGGUGACCGAGAACUCUUCUGCCUGGGCCAGGCUACAACGAUGAAGAUAUAAAUAGAGCAAGUGUGAAGAGAUGAGUCUGAAGGUCCAGAGCUUUAAUAUUUCGCACUGAAUGUCACCAGUCCUCGGAAGCCUAGUCCCUGGAAGUUCUUCCCAGUGGCCCAACUCAUUGGAAAUUUGCCUGGCCAGCUGAGUGAAGAGAUUAUGGAUCUGGAUAGGCUAUAUUAUCAAGCUCAUUGUGGUUAUAGUGCUUGGCACACAGUAAGUGCUUAACAAGUAUCGUAAUUAUUAUUAAGUAUCAUAAUUAUUUGUUCUCUUGGCACAGAAUACUCAAUGGCAAGGUAUCAGAGGGAAUGAAAAUGUAUUCAGUUCACCAUCAAUGAAAAUACCAUACAUUCAGAGUUAUAGCCCAUUUACUUGUUUUGAUGUCUGCCUUCCCCCUUCUAGACGGUAAGCCCUGU